AAAGCCAAAUGUAAUUUAGAAAGAAAAGACCCUUUCCCAAAGGCACAAAUUGGCAACUUCACCAAAAUGGAGCAUGUGAACAUUUUUUAAAGACUGAGUCUGAGACUAAUGCCAAUUUUAAUCAUUACAAGAUCAUUUUGGCAAAACUAUGUUUUUUUCAGUUACUUUUGAAAAUGACAAAAUUUUGCCUGCAGACCAGGACACAAAUACUGUAUUAUCAAGAAACUCACUAAUUCAUUCUCUUAUCACCUACAGGUUAAAUGUGUGCCCUACCACUUCCCAGUCUUGGAGUGUUUUACCUAUGAUUGUUUGCUAUGAUGACCUACCAUCAUAAAGAAAAAAUUCAAGAAUGUGGUUCCUGAUUUUCUCUACAGAAACAGCAUGUCAGACAACUCUUGGGAGUCAUUUCUCAACCAACCCAUAGCACAGCAACAAGUUCAAAGUCCCAAUUCCACAUUCUAAAUGGUGAGGUGACCGUUACAUCAGGAUCAUUCCAGGUCUGAUGGGUGAUCCUCAAGGUCUGGAGAACCGCUACGAGUGGAAUCACUUCUUCUCUUUACAUGUAAUAACAAUAACCUACUACUAUGCCUAAGAAAUAGCAUAAAAAUCACCAGCAAUUUCUACCCAAAGGUGGUCAAAGGAGUUGUGCAUGGAGCCCAAAUGAGACACAGUGAGGGGGCAGGGAAGUGUACUGUGGGCAGCGGCAGCCCUGGGGGAACACACCCCUCAGAGGACCCAAUUGCUAUCCCCAGCACCCACUGGCUCCUGGCUGCCUUGGACUGCUCUGUAUGUUCGAACAUCACCAAAUGUUUGGGGUUUUUUUCCCCUUUAAUUUUUAAAGAUUAACUUUAACUUCCAGGAAUAAAUACCAGUGACCAAAACAAAAGCAUGAGGGAAUUAAACAAAUUUAAAGCACAAAAAUUGCUAAUGAUCAUUUGUCUUCUCUCAAACCCCAAGAUGCCUAUACCACAGUGUGGAAGAACACCAAUUUUGCAGCUCCCAGGUCUCUCCAAAGAGCUUUCCUUGUUUUUUGAGGAUUAAUUAAUUGGGAAACUUUUGCAAGUACCUAUUCUUUAAAAACCACAGAACUUAAAAUAUUACUAAAAAAAAAAAAAGUAAUUAAGUAUGUACGGUACAUGGCACUCAACAGAGAACUUUCAACCUGGCUUCAUCUGAUCAAGACAGUCAAACAUCACAAACCGUAUGCCCACUUGGACACGCCGUCACAAAAUGAAAUCUUGCUGAAUUUCAGCUUGUUUACCCCACUGAGGCUGGCUCAGAAAAGGGCAUGUGACUUAUACAAGAUCCCACAGCCUGGGCUUUACCUUCUGGCCCUCGGGCUCCAAAUCCAGCACUCAACCAUGGUCUAUACUGUUAAUAAGUUUCUGGGUCAAAGGGCAGGUGCACACCAUUGGAGAUCUGAAAACACAAUCCUUCUAAGGAACUUUCUGAAAGGGAGAAGUGAACCCAAUGCCAUAGAAGCAUUAGAGGGCACAUUUAUUUGAUCAUGGCUGCAUCCUGACUGAAUUUUGUUCUUCUAUUAUCUUUGCAAAUUUGAUGGAUGCCAAACAGAUCUCAGAGUUGUUCUAAUUUCCACUUGUCUGAUUUAAUAAGGUUCUUUCCUUUGAGACUUGUUCAUUCAUGUUCUUUUUAUCACUCAUCCUCUGAUGAAGGCUGUUUUAAAUGUUCAUUCCUUAUAAACUCUGCACAUAAGACUUUUCCUGAAAGUUAAAUGCAAAGAUUUUUACCUUUCUUCUCUUCCCCUCUCCCCCCCAAUUUGUUUCUCUCCUUGUCUUAAAUGGAUGCAAAUACUUCUAAAUUUUCAUAUAAUCAGAUGUACUCUGUGUAGCUACACCCUACAUUUAGUAAGGGUAAGUCUUAUUUCCCCCUUCAUCUUAUAGAUGAAGAGACCAGGCCCAGGAGGCCAGGCCAAACAGGAAUUAGCAGCACAGGAGGAAUCUGAACUGAAGUCUUCUGAACCCCAUGCUCUUUCCAAUGGACGAAGUUACCACUCGAAAGAAAUGACUGACCAGAGGUAGAAGCUGUAAUUUUCCUGUUCAAUUCAGUUCAAGCUUGAACAAGUGAAGAGGAAAUCAUCAAUGAAAAGAUCAUAUCCCCCCCAAAAUUCUGUGUAUACUUUUUGAUUAUGUAACUUGGACUUUUUGAUUAUGCAUAUGAUAAACUGAAAUAUCAAGGUU